AGAAGAAGAAUAGAAACGGCAACGAUUACAAUAGGUGUAUCCGUACCUUCAGUGCUUGGCCCCUAAAUAUGCAAUAUUCUACCACUGUGUUCAAAUUUAGAGAGUUUUCUGUAAUAUUAGACCUUUUUUACCCAUUUACUCCAAUGAAUAUGAGUAGGGUGCUCUUUUAAAUUCAGGUAUUCCCAAUUCUUUCAGAAAUCGAAAAUGGAAAUGGCAAAAGUACACUUAGAGACACCAAUGCCUCCUUUCAGUUAAAUCUCAAUAACUUUUCUUUAAAAGGAGAUAUCAAGUAGAUUAUUUUUCCCUGUUUACUGCCACCUAGUGGAAUCAACAGAAGAUCACAUCUUCAGGGACUAAAUUACAGACUC